rnacentral:rRNA from 1 species
GAUGAACGCUGGCGGCGUGCUUAACACAUGCAAGUCGAACGGAAAGGCUCCUGCUUGCAGGGGUACUCGAGUGGCGAACGGGUGAGUAACACGUGGGUGAUCUGCCCUGCACUUCGGGAUAAGCCUGGGAAACUGGGCCUAAUACCGGAUAGGACGAUGGUUUGGAUGCCAUUGUGGAAAGUUUUUUCGGUGUGGGAUGAGCUCGCGGCCUAUCAGCUUGUUGGUGGGGUAUUGGCCUACCAAGGCGUCGACGGGUAGCCGGCCUGAGAGGGUGUACGGCCACAUUGGGACUGAGAUACGGCCCAGACUCCUACGGGAGGCAGCAGUGGGGAAUAUUGCACAAUGGGCGCAAGCCUGAUGCAGCGACGCCGCGUGGGGGAUGACGGCCUUCGGGUUGUAAACUCCUUUCGCUAGGGACGAAGCGCAAGUGACGGUACCUGGAGAAGAAGCACCGGCUAACUACGUG